CCUACGGGUGGCAGCAGUGAGGAAUCUUGGUCAAUGGACGAGAUUCUGAACCAGCCAAGUAGCGUGAAGGAUGACUGCCCUAUGGGCUGUAAACUUCUUUUAUAAAGGAAUAAAACGAGGCACGUGUGCCUUUUUCCAUGUACUUUAUGAAUAAGGAUAGGCUAACGCCGUGCCAACACCGCCGGUACUACGGAGGAUGCGAGCGUUAUCCGGAUUUAUUGGGUUUAAAGGGUGGGCAGCGGGGGGCAAAAGUCAGCGGUAAAAUGGCGGGGCUCAACCCCGCUCCGCCGUUGAAACUGUGUCCCUUGAGUGCGCGAAGGGUAGGCGGAAUGCGUGGUGUAGCGGUGAAAUGCAUAGAUAUCACGCAGAACUCCGAUCGCGAAGGCAGCCUACCGGCGCGCAACUGACGCUGAUGCACGAAAGCGUGGGUAUCGAACAGGAUUAGAUACCCUUGUAGUC
rnacentral:rRNA from 1 species